UGGGGAAUUUUGGACAAUGGGCGAAAGCCUGAUCCAGCAAUGCCGCGUGUGUGAAGAAGGCCUUCGGGUUGUAAAGCACUUUUGUCCGGAAAGAAAUCCUUGGCUCUAAUACAGUCGGGGGAUGACGGUACCGGAAGAAUAAGCACCGGCUAACUACGUGCCAGCAGCCGCGGUAAUACGUAGGGUGCAAGCGUUAAUCGGAAUUACUGGGCGUAAAGCGUGCGCAGGCGGUUUGCUAAGACCGAUGUGAAAUCCCCGGGCUCAACCUGGGAACUGCAUUGGUGACUGGCAGGCUAGAGUAUGGCAGAGGGGGGUAGAAUUCCACGUGUAGCAGUGAAAUGCGUAGAGAUGUGGAGGAAUACCGAUGGCGAAGGCAGCCCCCUGGGCCAAUACUGACGCUCAUGCACGAAAAGCGUGGGGGAGCAAAACAGGAUUAGAUACCCUGGUAGUCCACGCCCUAAAACGAUGUCAACUAGUUGUUGGGGAUUCAUUUCCUUAGUAACGUAGCUAACGCGUGAAGUUGACCGCCUGGGGAGUACGGUCGCAAGAUUAAAACUCAAAUGAAUUGACGGGGUCAUAGCUGUUUCCU
rnacentral:rRNA from 1 species